rnacentral:rRNA from 1 species
AUUGAACGCUGGCGGCAUGCUUUACACAUGCAAGUCGAACGGUAACAGGCCGCAAGGUGCUGACGAGUGGCGAACGGGUGAGUAAUGCAUCGGAACGUGCCCAGUCGUGGGGGAUAACGCAGCGAAAGCUGCGCUAAUACCGCAUACGAUCUGUGGAUGAAAGCGGGGGACCGUAAGGCCUCGCGCGAUUGGAGCGGCCGAUGUCAGAUUAGGUAGUUGGUGGGGUAAAGGCUCACCAAGCCAACGGUCUGUAGCUGGUCUGAGAGGACGACCAGCCACACUGGGACUGAGACACGGCCCAGACUCCUACGGGAGGCAGCAGUGGGGAAUUUUGGACAAUGGGCGCAAGCCUGAUCCAGCAAUGCCGCGUGCGGGAAGAAGGCCUUCGGGUUGUAAACUGCUUUUGUACGGAACGAAAAGGCUCUGGUUAAUACCUGGGGCUCAUGACGGUACCGUAAGAAUAAGCACCGGCUAACUACGUGCCAGCCGCCGCAGUAAAAC